ACGGCUCAGUAACACGUGGACAACNUACCCUCAGGACGGGGAUAAACCCGGGAAACUGGGUAUAAUACCCGAUAGAUCUCGGCUGCUGGAAUGCAUCGAGAUCCAAAGCUCCGGCGCCUGAGGAUGGGUCUGCGGCCUAUCAGGUAGUAGUGGGUGUAGCGUACCUACUAGCCUACGACGGGUACGGGUUGUGAGAGCAAGAGCCCGGAGAUGGAUUCUGAGACACGAAUCCAGGCCCUACGGGGUGCAGCAGGCGCGAAAACUUUACAAUGCUGGCAACAGCGAUAAGGGGACCUCGAGUGCCAGGUUACAAAUCUGGCUGUCGUGAUGCCUAAAAAGCAUUGCAUAGCAAGGGCCGGGCAAGACCGGUGCCAGCCGCCGCGGUAACACCGGCGGCUCGAGUGGUAACCGUUAUUAUUGGGUCUAAAGGGUCUGUAGCCGGCCGGAUAAGUCUCUUGGGAAAUCUGGCAGCUUAACUGUCAGGCUUUCAGGAGAUACUGUCUGGCUCGAGGCCGGGAGAGGUGAGAGGUACUUCAGGGGUAGGGGUGAAAUCUUGUAAUCCUUGAAGGACCACCAGUGGCGAAGGCGUCUCACCAGAACGGACCUGACGGCAAGGGACGAAAGCUAGGGGCACGAACCGGAUUAGAUACCCGGGUAGUCCUAGCCGUAAACGAUACUCGCUAGGUGUCGGCCACGGUGCGACCGCUGUCGGUGCCGUAGGGAAGCCGUGAAGCGAGCCACCUGGGGAGUACGGCCGCAAGGCUGAAACUUAAAGGAAUUGGCGGGGGAGCAC
rnacentral:rRNA from 1 species